rnacentral:misc_RNA from 1 species
UACGUAGGUGUCGAGCGUUAUCCGGAAUUACUGGGCGUAAAGGGCACGCAGGCGGUUCUGCAAGUCUGACGUGAAAGCUCCCGGCUUAACCGGGAGAGGUCGUUGGAAACUGUGGGACUUGAGAGAGGGAGAGGGGAGCGGAAUUCCCGGUGUAGUGGUGGAAUGCGUAGAUAUCGGGAAGAACACCAGUGGCGAAAGCGGCUCUCUGGCCCUCGUCUGACGCUGAGGUGCGAAAGCGUGGGUAGCGAACGGG